GACGUAGGGGGCGAGCGUUGUCCGGAUUUAUUGGGCGUAAAGAGCGCGUAGGCGGCCCGGAAAGUCGGAUGUGAAAACCCGGGGCUCAACCCCGGGCCUGCAUCCGAUACUCCCGGGCUGGAGGCAGGUAGGGGAGAUCGGAAUUCCUGGUGUAGCGGUGAAAUGCGCAGAUAUCAGGAGGAACACCGGUGGCGAAGGCGGAUCUCUGGGCCGAAAUUGACGCUGAGGAGCGAAAGCGUGGGGAGCGAACAGG
rnacentral:rRNA from 1 species